UACAUAGGGAGCAGGUCCUCGUCUACAGAGAUCGCCAUGUUGCACCGCCAUGUUUCUACAGUAGCACAGAACAGACAAACCAAACUCUAGCUCGAGAUAAGGACAUUCACAUUUUUGCAUCGUAGUUGGAAGCCCAUCUGUGACAAGCAGUGUUGGAGAAACACGGAUUUCCUUAACAUGAAACUACUUCAUUCAGUGUUUUUACUGAUUUAAAUCAGAGGAAGAGACCUGUGGAAAAUUCAUCUCCUGGUUAAAACCUCCUGAACAUCUGGAUCAGACAACAGCAGGUGACCUCGAUGUACGACCUCGAUGUACGCUGCCAGGUCCCGGCUGAUCCAACGCUCCACAACAUCCAGUCCAGCAGAAACUCAUGGAAAAAGCCAGAAGUGACCAUAUUUGGAUAAGAGGGUGGAGCUGUGGAGGAGCAAGAGGUGGAUCUGACUCAAAGACUGUAGUGACACUUCGCAGACAGCCUGUCACUCAAGUGCCCCCCCUUAUAUAUGCAUAACAUUAAGGCUUAAUCAAACGUAAACAGAAUUAGAUAAACUGCUGAAGUCAGGAGGCACGUGGAAGAAUCCGUCACCUCCUCCCUGCUUUCAUAACCCACAGAUACAUCCAUCGCUCUGUUUGAUUUAAUCAUCUGACAGCAAAUAUGGAGCAAAAGGGGAACAGAGGAAGAUGAAAGACAAACUCUCUCUCAUCCUUCAACACUCACAAAUUCCAUAAGCUAAUGGCAAAGUUUGGUGUCAGCCCCGGCCUGUCUUUCUCACCUUGUGACCUCUGACCUUUGACCACACCCAACCUCUUAGCCACCAGUCAGUGCCAAAAUCCACACUCCUUCUCCGGUUUGAGAGAGGGAACAUUUCCAUGGACAGCCCUGCGCUGCUGUGUUUGAUGGAUCGCUGCAGGAAACUCACAUUCACAGAGUCAAAGAAAAGAAAAGCACAAUACUUUAUUCAUUUGAAAAUGAUUUGUUAGUGUACGGAGAGAAAUGUAGACACAGAUAAGAAUACAUAGAUUAAAUGAGCUCUUGAAUGAAACUCUUGGAGCUGUAAUUACUUAACAUGUCCCUAUGGACCGGCUCGUUUUCCUGGCACGAAAUUAACGUCUGUGGAAGAGAUAAAUAUUUCAUAAUUACACGACUACUCGCUGAACAUCUCGUGGAUGUAAUCCUGAGACAUUAUCCCAUCAAGAUGAUCGACUUGUUUCAACACCGCUUAUCUUCCUGACAAACACCAGCCCCUGACUUGUUCUGUGUGUUUUUUGGUGUGCCGGUCGAUACUUGCUGAAAGAAUGUGUUCAAGGGAAUGUUGUUAUUGCACACUCUGGCCUUUCCUUUCAUAGAAAAUUUCAGGAAAACAAAGACCUGAAGAAGAAAAAUAA